rnacentral:rRNA from 1 species
AUCCUGGCUCAGAGCGAACGUUAGCGGCGGGCCUAACACAUGCAAGUCGAACGCGAAAGGUCUCGGACUGAGUAGAGUGGCGCACGGGUGAGUAACACGUAGGUAAUCUACCCUUGGCGGGGGAUAACGUUCCGAAAGGAGCGCUAAUACCGCAUAAGACCACGGAGUCUCCGGACGCUGUGGGAAAAGGUGGCCUCUUCUUGAAAGCUACCACCGAAGGAUGAGCCCUGCGUCCCAUCAGCUAGUUGGUAAGGUAAUGGCUUACCAAGGCGAAGACGGGUAGCUGGUUUGAGAGAAUGAUCAGCCACACUGGCACUGGAACACGGGCCAGACUCCUACGGGAGGCAGCAGUGAGGAAUAUUGGGCAAUGGGCCGAAAGCCUGACCCAGCCACGCCGCGUGAGUGAUGAAGGCCCUCGGGGUCGUAAAGCUCUGUGGAGAGGGACGAAAACCCUGGUUUCAAAUAGGCUCCAGGCUUGACGGUACCUCUUUAGCAAGCACCGGCUAACUCUGUG